GAAAAACUGAGGCCCAGGGAGGAAAGUGCGAAGGGACUGGAAUGGAGAUCCUGAGCGGUCCUGGGUGCCGGGGCCCCGACCGGGGCUGAGCUGGUCCCCUGGUCGGGACGGCUGGGCAGAGGUGCCGAGGGGCCGCGGGCGGCCCUUCGCUGGCUCAUUCGCAUCCGCAGCCCCUCAAGAAGGCCCUGGGCCCGCAGGGAGGAAGAGUUUACCUGGAAGGUCCUCUCCUGCGCUGGCUCUGGGGGUGCUUGGAACCAGAGCCCCUUAGUCGAAGCGCGUCCUGCUGCCAGCUACUACCAAGUCCUUAGGCCGAGCCCGUUUCUCUCCUGGUGAUGUGAAUCCUCGUUUUUUGUUGUUGUUGUUGUCGUUUACUGAAGUCCCGGGCUGAUUAGACACAGCAAUGGAAGCUGGGGGUGGCCUGGGCCGUGCAUUGAAUUUGUGACUUUAGCAAGUCCCUAAAUUCCUCUCUGCCUCACUUUUGCUGUCUUUUUUAGGUUAAAAAUAUUUUGGAGAAUAGAAAACAGAACAAAACAAAAAUAAUGGCUUAUAGUGCCAAUAUGGAAUUAUAGUCACUCCUAACAUUUUGGUAUAUUGUUUUGCAUUUGCUUUGUUUCUAUUCUAUGCUUAUAUAUUUUUAAUUUUUUUCCAUCACUGUCAUCAUAUUUCCUAUUCAGGUCUCCAGCCUGCUUUAAAAAUUUUUUAAUCAUAAAGUUCCAUAAAAAUUUUAUUUCAGCCAAUUUCUUUUAUAACACGUUCUUCAUGAAUCUUAUCUGAUAUCUGCAUAAUAUUCCACUCAUACUUUGCACAAUUAGACAUUAAGGUCGUGUGUACUUUUUAAAUUAUGAUACAGCAAUUUCUAAAUAGUGUAUAAUUUCAAUUUUUGUUUCUUAGUUAUCAUAACAGUUCUUAAAAGGUGAUAACAAAUUUUUAAGUGGAUACAUUUUUUCCCCCUUCUUUGGUUUAUAAUUUUAUUGCUCUGUGGUCUGAGAAUGUGGCUGUAUUUACGCUUUUUGAAAUUGAAGUUUUUGAUUGAUGGUUGAUUUCGUAAAUAAGUUUAGGCACAGUUUUGUAUAAAUGAUUGGGCACAAAAUUCUUUAUAUUAGAUCAAGCUUUGUAAAAUGUAUUAUCCAUAUCUGCUAUGUCUUUUUAAAAUUUUUAUCUACUUGAUCUAAUUUCUGAAAGAGCUGUAAGUUUUUUAAAUGUGUUUGUGGAUUUACUAUUUCUUCUUUAUAUAUAUAUAUAUAUAUAUAUAUAU
rnacentral:lncRNA from 10 species